UACGUAGGGUGCAAGCGUUAAUCGGAAUUACUGGGCGUAAAGUGUGCGCAGGUGGCCGAGCAAGUCGAGUGUGAAAUCCCCGAGCUUAACUUGGGAAUUGCGCUCGAAACUACUUGGCUCGAGUGUGGCAGAGGAAGGUGGAAUUCCACGUGUAGCGGUGAAAUGCGUAGAGAUGUGGAGGAACACCGAUGGCGAAGGCAGCCUUCUGGGCCAACACUGACGCUGAAGCGCGAAAGCCAGGGGAGCGAACGGG
rnacentral:rRNA from 1 species